UCCUACGGGAGGCAGCAGUGGGGAAUAUUGGACAAUGGGGGCAACCCUGAUCCAGCAAUGCCGCGUGAGUGAUGAAGGCCUUAGGGUUGUAAAGCUCUUUUACCAGGGAUGAUAAUGACAGUACCUGGAGAAUAAGCUCCGGCUAACUCCGUGCCAGCAGCCGCGGUAAUACGGAGGGAGCUAGCGUUGUUCGGAAUUACUGGGCGUAAAGCGCGCGUAGGCGGCUAUUCAAGUCAGAGGUGAAAGCCUGGAGCUUAACUCCAGAACUGCCUUUGAAACUAGAUAGCUAGAAUCAUGGAGAGGUGAGUGGAAUUCCGAGUGUAGAGGUGAAAUUCGUAGAUAUUCGGAAGAACACCAGUGGCGAAGGCGGCUCACUGGACAUGUAUUGACGCUGAGGUGCGAAAGCGUGGGGAGCAAACAGGAUUAGAUACCCGGGUAGUC
rnacentral:rRNA from 1 species